GAUUAGUGGCGAACGGGUGCGUAACACGUGGGCAAUCUGCCCUUCAGUCUGGGACAAGCCCUGGAAACGGGGUCUAAUACCGGAUACCACUCCUGCUGGGAUGGGGGUGGGUAGAAAGCUCCGGCGGUGAAGGAUGAGCCCGCGGCCUAUCAGCUUGUUGGUGAGGUAACGGCUCACCAAGGCGACGACGGGUAGCCGGCCUGAGAGGGCGACCGGCCACACUGGGACUGAGACACGGCCCAGACUCCUACGGGAGGCAGCAGUGGGGAAUAUUGCACAAUGGGCGAAAGCCUGAUGCAGCGACGCCGCGUGAGGGAUGACGGCCUUCGGGUUGUAAACCUCUUUCAGCAGGGAAGAAGCGAAAGUGACGGUACCUGCAGAAGAAGCGCCGGCUAACUACGUGCCAGCAGCCGCGGUAAUACGUAGGGCGCAAGCGUUGUCCGGAAUUAUUGGGCGUAAAGAGCUCGUAGGCGGCUUGUCACGUCGGGUGUGAAAGCCCGGGGCUUAACCCCGGGUCUGCAUUCGAUACGGGCUAGCUAGAGUGUGGUAGGGGAGAUCGGAAUUCCUGGUGUAGCGGUGAAAUGCGCAGAUAUCAGGAGGAACACCGGUGGCGAAGGCGGAUCUCUGGGCCAUUACUGACGCUGAGGAGCGAAAGCGUGGGGAGCGAACAGGAUUAGAUACCCUGGUAGUCCACGCCGUAGACGGUGGGAACUAGGUGUUGGCGACAUUCCACGUCGUCGGUGCCGCAGCUAACGCAUUAAGUUCCCCGCCUGGGGAGUACGGCCGCAAGGCUAAAACUCAAAGGACUUGAGGGGGGCCCGCACAAGCAGCGGAGCAUGUGGCUUAAUUCGACGCAACGCGCAGAACCUUACCAAGGCUUGACAUACACCGGAAACGGCCAGGGAUGGUCGCCCCCUUGUGGUCGGUGUACAGGUGGUGCAUGGCUGUCGUCAGUUCGUGUCGUGCGAUGUUGGGUUAAGUCCCGCCACGCGCGCAACCCUUGUCCUGUGUUGCCAGCAUGCCCUUCGGGGUGAUGGGGACUGACAGGAGACCGCCGGGGUCACCUCGGAGGAAGGUGGGGACGACGUCAAGUCAUCAUGCCCCUUAUGUCUUGGGCUGCACGCGUGCUACAAUGGCAGGUACAAUGA
rnacentral:rRNA from 1 species